CCAGAGUUUGCAGCGACCACUUUCUAACAGGUUGCCCUAGUAUAGCAACUAAUGUUAAUUCCUAAGACUGGGCCCCUACUGUUAAUUUGGGAUACCAAAGGCGUGAGGAGAAGCCACAAACAGAAGCAUCACGACAGCGGGGGUAAAGAGCCAGGGCACGGUGCACCACGGUACUGCCACAGAGAGGGAGGCAGCCAAUUUGGAGGAUGCUCUCUGUGAUGAAGCCUUACCGAGUCAUGAAGAGGAGUGUUUCAAAGAUGCAGCAUACCAGACCGAUCUGACCAUGGUCGACCUCACACGGCUGGAGGAUGCAGUGAAAGGCUACACAUCUGAGAUCUGCAACCUUAGAGGAAAAGUUUCAGCAACUAAAUUCACUCCUGAAACCUUCCAUAACAAUAAAAAACAAAGUUUUACACUGGAUUGCCCAAAGUUUUAGUUUUGGUGCAAAUUUUUAAGCUCUGUGAACCAAACAUCACCACAUCAUCAUCGUCAGUUCUCUCCAAAUUUGAACAAUUUAUCAUAGUACAUUUGGGUCUCAGAUUAAAUCUGCAACUUCAAGACCUUGCCUACCAAUUUAAUGUAUCAACAGCCACUGUGUCUCAAAUUUGGCUGAAGAUUUAUGUUCUCCAUGAAAGGCUAGAAUUCUUAAUAGAGUGGCCUGACUGAGAAGUAAUACUAUCAACCAUGCCUAUGUCAUUCAGAAAGGCCUUUGGGCUUAAAGUUGCAGUGAUAUUGGACUGCUUUGAAGUAUUUGGGGCGGCAGUGGCUCAGGCGGUAGAGCAGGUCGUCUAAUGAUCGGAAGGUCGGCGGUUCGA